rfam:Oryza sativa Japonica Group DNA, chromosome 3, cultivar: Nipponbare, complete sequence.
AAUAAGUGCAGUUUUAGCACUGUUUAUGUCUGUUUGACCGUUCAUCUUAUUUAAAAAAAAUGUAUAAUUAGUAUUUUUAUUGUUAUUACAUGAUAAAACAUGGGUAGUACUUUAUGUGUGACUAUUUUUUUUAAUUUUUUCAUAAAUUUUUCAAAUAAGACGAACGGUCAAAACGCUAAACACGGAUAUCUAUGGCUGCACUUAUU